GACGAACGCUGGCGGCGUGCUUAACACAUGCAAGUCGAACGGAAAGGCCCUGCUUUUGUGGGGUGCUCGAGUGGCGAACGGGUGAGUAACACGUGAGUAACCUGCCCUUGACUUUGGGAUAACUUCAGGAAACUGGGGCUAAUACCGGAUAGGAGCUCCGGCUGCAUGGUGGGGGUUGGAAAGUUUCGGCGGUUGGGGAUGGACUCGCGGCUUAUCAGCUUGUUGGUGGGGUAGUGGCUUACCAAGGCUUUGACGGGUAGCCGGCCUGAGAGGGUGACCGGCCACAUUGGGACUGAGAUACGGCCCAGACUCCUACGGGAGGCAGCAGUGGGGAAUAUUGCACAAUGGGCGGAAGUCUGAUGCAGCAACGCCGCGUGCGGGAUGACGGCCUUCGGGUUGUAAACCGCUUUCGCCUGUGACGAAGCGUGAGUGACGGUAAUGGGUAAAGAAGCACCGGCUAACUACGUG
rnacentral:rRNA from 1 species